GACGAACGCUGGCGGCGUGGAUUAGGCAUGCAAGUCGAACGGUAUCAUCCUUUCGGGGGUGAGAGAGUGGCGAACUGGUGAGUAACACGUAGGUUAUCUACCCUCAAGACGGGGACAACCCAGGGAAACUUGGGCUAAUACCGGAUGUGAGCAACUUUUAGUUGUUUGAAAGGUGGCGUAAGCUGUCGCUUGGGGAUGAGCCUGCGUCCUAUUAGUUAGUUGGUGAGGUAACGGCUCACCUAGGCAAUGAUAGGUAGGCGGCCUUAACGGGUGGUCGCCCACACGGGUGGAUUGAGAUACGGCCCAGACUCCUACGGGAGGCAGCAGUCGAGAAUAGUCUACAAUGGUCGGAAGACUGAUAGUGCGACGCCGCGUGAACGAUGAAUCCCUUCGGGGUGUAAAGUUCUUUUAUAUGUGAGCAGUGCUUCUUAUAUUAACAGUAUGGGGAGAGGAGAUAUUAGCAUAUGAAUAAGCAACGGCUAACUCCGUGCCAGCAGCCGCGGU
rnacentral:rRNA from 1 species